rnacentral:ncRNA from 1 species
GAAAAGGCGAGGAAGGGGAGUAGUAGAGGCUUCUCCCUGCUCAAGAGAACCGGGGACAAGGUGAGAGCCCGGUAGCAAAGGAGCCUCGAACUCGCCCCAGAGCCGUCAGGCCGAGCUUCUUGCGUAUCUCGGUAGGUCUGGUCGGGGGCGCCCGUUACAGCGCUUAGAGAGCUCCGGUAGGUUGGAGAAGAAGGGUGGCACCGUCCCCGCCCCAGCGGGAUCCCUUUU